GUCCUUGCCCUCAAGGAGCUCACAGUCUAAUGAG
ensembl:miRNA